rnacentral:rRNA from 1 species
UACGUAGGGUGCAAGCGUUGCCCGGAAUUAUUGGGCGUAAAGAGCUCGUAGGCGGUUUGUUGCGUCGGCUGUGAAAUCCCGAGGCUCAACCUCGGGUCUGCAGUCGAUACGAGCAAACUAGAGUGUUGCAGGGGAGACUGGAAUUCCUGGUGUAGCGGUGAAAUGCGCAGAUAUCAGGAGGAACACCGGUGGCGAAGGCGGGUCUCUGGGCAACAACUGACGCUGAGGAGCGAAAGCGUGGGGAGCGAACAGGA